GGAUGUAUAGCUCAAUAGGUAAAGCAUUGGACUUUUAAUCCACAGAUUCUAGGUUCAAAUCCUAGUGUAUCCA
rnacentral:tRNA from 1 species